rnacentral:rRNA from 1 species
CUUGCACCUGGUGGCGAGUGGCGAACGGGUGAGUAAUACAUCGGAACAUGUCCUGUAGUGGGGGAUAGCCCGGCGAAAGCCGGAUUAAUACCGCAUACGAUCUACGGAUGAAAGCGGGGGACCUUCGGGCCUCGCGCUAUAGGGUUGGCCGAUGGCUGAUUAGCUAGUUGGUGGGGUAAAGGCCUACCAAGGCGACGAUCAGUAGCUGGUCUGAGAGGACGACCAGCCACACUGGGACUGAGACACGGCCCAGACUCCUACGGGAGGCAGCAGUGGGGAAUUUUGGACAAUGGGCGAAAGCCUGAUCCAGCAAUGCCGCGUGUGUGAAGAAGGCCUUCGGGUUGUAAAGCACUUUUGUCCGGAAAGAAAUCCUUGGUUCUAAUAUAGCCGGGGGAUGACGGUACCGGAAGAAUAAGCACCGGCCAACUACGUGCCAGCAGCCGCGGUAAUACGUAGGGUGCGAGCGUUAAUCGGAAUUACUGGGCGUAAAGCGUGCGCAGGCGGUUUGCUAAGACCGAUGUGAAAUCCCCGGGCUCAACCUGGGAACUGCAUUGGUGACUGGCAGGCUAGAGUAUGGCAGAGGGGGGUAGAAUUCCACGUGUAGCAGUGAAAUGCGUAGAGAUGUGGAGGAAUACCGAUGGCGAAGGCA